rnacentral:rRNA from 1 species
CGACGGGUGAGUAACACGUAUCCAACCUGCCGUCUACUCUUGGACAGCCUUCUGAAAGGAAGAUUAAUACAAGAUGGCAUCAUGAGUCCGCAUGUUCACAUGAUUAAAGGUAUUCCGGUAGACGAUGGGGAUGCGUUCCAUUAGAUAGUAGGCGGGGUAACGGCCCACCAAGACUACGAUGGAUAGGGGUUCUGAGAGGAAGGUCCCCCACAUUGGAACUGAGACACGGUCCAA